AUGGGAAUUCAGGGUGCAGGACGACCUUCGGAAACAUGUGGUUCCGUUACCUUCCAUGUGUAAAGUGAGCCUUCUCAGGAAUGUGCCAGAGAAGUGCUGGAACUGUGCUUUGAAGACUUUUCAGCUUGGAAGCCAUCCACCAUUGGUGAAGCCCAAGUUUUGGAGAGGCCCAUGUGGCGACAGGCUGAGGUUUCCUGCUUCCAGCCAGCACAGCCUUGCCAGACCUGUGACGGAGCUGUGUGGAACAGACAAGCUUUCUUCACCACGCCCCACCCAAAUUUCAGGUUUCUAAGCUGAAAAUAAAUGAAUUUUUAAAAUAA